GACGAACGCUGGCGGCGUGCUUAACACAUGCAAGUCGAACGGAAAGGCCCUGCUUUUGUGGGGUGCUCGAGUGGCGAACGGGUGAGUAACACGUGAGUAACCUGCCCUUGACUUUGGGAUAACUUCAGGUAACUGGGGCUAAUACCGGAUAGGAGCUCCUGCUGCAUGGUGGGGGUUGGAAAGUUUCGGCGGUUGGGGAUGGACUCGCGGCUUAUCAGCUUGUUGGUGGGGUAGUGGCUUACCAAGGCUUUGACGGGUAGCCGGCCGGAGAGGGUGACCGGCCACAUUGGGACUGAGAUACGGCCCAGACUCCUACGGGAGGCAGCAGUGGGGAAUAUUGCACAAUGGGCGGAAGCCUGAUGCAGCAACGCCGCGUGCGGGACGACGGCCUUCGGGUUGUAAACCGCUUUCGCCUGUGACGAAGCGUGAGUGACGGUAAUGGGUAAAGAAGCACCGGCUAACUACGUGCCAGCAGCCGCGGUGAUACGUAGGGUGCGAGCGUUGUCCGGAUUUAUUGGGCGUAAAGGGCUCGUAGGUGGUUGAUCGCGUCGGAAGUGUAAUCUUGGGGCUUAACCCUGAGCGUGCUUUCGAUACGGGUUGACUUGAGGAAGGUAGGGGAGAAUGGAAUUCCUGGUGGAGCGGUGGAAUGCGCAGAUAUCAGGAGGAACACCAGUGGCGAAGGCGGUUCUCUGGGCCUUUCCUGACGCUGAGGAGCGAAAGCGUGGGGAGCGAACAGGCUUAGAUACCCUGGUAGUCCACGCUGUAAACGGUGGGUACUAGGUGUGGGGUCCAUUCCACGGGUUCCGUGCCGUAGCUAACGCUUUAAGUACCCCGCCUGGGGAGUACGGCCGCAAGGCUAAAACUCAAAGGAAUUGACGGGGCCCCGCACAAGCGGCGGAGCAUGCGGAUUAAUUCGAUGCAACGCGUAGAACCUUACCUGGGUUUGACAUGGAUCGGGAGCGCUCAGAGAUGGGUGUGCCUCUUUUGGGGUCGGUUCACAGGUGGUGCAUGGCUGUCGUCAGCUCGUGUCGUGAGAUGUUGGGUUAAGUCCCGCAACGAGCGCAACCCUUGUUCACUGUUGCCAGCACGUUAUGGUGGGGACUCAGUGGAGACCGCCGGGGUCAACUCGGAGGAAGGUGGGGAUGACGUCAAGUCAUCAUGCCCCUUAUGUCCAGGGCUUCACGCAUGCUACAAUGGCUGGUACAGAGAGUGGCGAGCCUGUGAGGGUGAGCGAAUCUCGGAAAGCCGGUCUCAGUUCGGAUUGGGGUCUGCAACUCGACCUCAUGAAGUCGGAGUCGCUAGUAAUCGCAGAUCAGCAACGCUGCGGUGAAUACGUUCCCGGG
rnacentral:rRNA from 1 species